rnacentral:rRNA from 1 species
GAUGAACGCUAGCGGCAGGCUUAAUACAUGCAAGUCAUGGGGCAGCAGGUUUGUAGCAAUACAGAUGCUGGCGACCGGCAAACGGGUGCGGAACACGUACAGAACCUUCCUUUGAGCGGGGAAUAGCCCAGAGAAAUUUGGAUUAAUACCCCAUAGUAUAAUGAAGUGACAUCACUUUAUUAUUAAAGAUUUAUCACUCGAAGAUGGCUGUGCGGCUGAUUAGGUAGUUGGCGGGGUAAAGGCCCACCAAGCCUGCGAUCAGUAACUGGUGUGAGAGCACGACCAGUCACACGGGCACUGAGACACGGGCCCGACUCCUACGGGAGGCAGCAGUAAGGAAUAUUGGUCAAUGGAGGCAACUCUGAACCAGCCAUGCCGCGUGGAGGAUGAAGGUCCUCUGGAUUGUAAACCUCUUUAUAUGGGACGAAAAAGGCUUUUCUAAGUCGUCUGACGGUACCAUAUGAAUAAGCACCGGCUAACUCCGUGCCAGCAGCCG